UACGGGGGGGGCAAGCGUUGUUCGGAAUUACUGGGCGUAAAGGGUUUGUAGGCGGCUUGCUAAGUCAGACGUGAAAUCCCUCAGCUUAACUGGGGAACUGCGUCUGAGACUGGUGAGCUUGAGUGCAGGAGAGGAACGCGGAAUUCCUGGUGUAGCGGUGAAAUGCGCAGAUAUCAGGAAGAACACCUAUGGCGAAGGCAGCUCUCUGGGACGGUACUGACGCUGAGACGCGAAAGCGUGGGGAGCGAACAGG
rnacentral:rRNA from 1 species